UACGGAGGAUGCAAGCGUUAUCCGGAUUUAUUGGGUUUAAAGGGUGCGUAGGCGGUCUAUUAAGCGUGAGGUGAAAAGCCAGUGCUCAACAUUGGUCGUGCCUCCCGAACUGGUGGACUGGAAUGCGGAUGCCGUGGGAGGAAUGUGUGGUGUAGCGGUGAAAUGCAUAGAGAUCACACAGAACACCGAUUGCGAAGGCAUCUCACGAAUCCGCUAUUGACGCUGAGGCACGAAAGCGUGGGGAU
rnacentral:rRNA from 1 species